UUGCUCCUGUUGGUCACUCUACUGUUCUUCGCCCUUAGAGCCGCUGUGGAGGAAGAUGAAGAGGAGGAAGAUGAAGGGCGUGGCCUUUUGACAUGAAUGGAAUCCACUGGGACCGAAGAGGGGACACGCUGCCUCCAUGCAGUUAACCUCCUCCACCUGUCCUUGGCUGCCUGCAGUGAUGUGUUUUCAGACCCCAGCAGACCCCAGCAGGACACUGAGAUGCUGUGUGGAGUUUGUUGCAUUUUGGCUAGUCAUUUUUUAACUUUAACUGGGAAAAGUCAAAUAAGAAAUUGAGGUUGCUGCUUUUCAGAAUCCCUGUGUACUGUGUCCCGUUAACACUAAAGUACACUAAUUAGACCUUUUUUUAAAAAAAAAAAAUCUCUGAUUAGAUAAUAAUUAAGGUAAGAUGAACAAUACAUUUUUACUGUAGUUUUUCUAAACACUGAAAAUUCUGUCCAUGUGUGAUGGUAACUUCUACUUUGCUAACAGGGAAAUAAAAAUAUCCUCACAAGUCUGAUUGCAUUCAGGAGGGUGCUCAGGACUCCUGGCCUGAGGCCAGUCGCCAAACAAAUAUUUUAACUGUGACUCUAUGUGACAGACGCUCAUAUGGAAAGUGCUGCUGUCUGACGUGCAUAUUUUACUCUGUCCAUGUCACAAGGACUACGUGAUUAAAUUUUGGUAGUGAUGCAGCUUUUAGUUUGAAUCCAUGGAUAUGUUCAAGAUUUCUGUAUCAUUGCAAGAUAGCGGCAUAGUGUCACUGUAACCAUGACUACAAGUGAACAUUACGUCAGCUGCCUGCUGUUGAUCACGUGAUUGUGAUCCUACUACAAAUUGACCAUUGCAAACUUAUUCUUCAGAAAUAAUACAAGGAAGAAUUGAUUAAAUUGUGUGGGUGAUUCCUAGUGCCAUCCAUUCCCGGCGCCCGCUACAUAUUUAGGUCCCGCAAUUCGGUAUCCAUACAUACAGAUUUUGUUAUUCUUACCAAAUUCGGUUGUGAAAGUACUGCAUUUUUUUGUUAUUUUCUUCUAAUAUUAUGUUUUGGGAACAAAGUUGUUCCAAUUGUUGGAAUUUAUUGAUAAUAUUAUAUCCCUUGUUGAUUUGUUGAAUAAUUAAACUGGUGCUGUCAAAAAAUAUUAGUUAUGUUCUGUAAUAGACAUCAAAACAGACAUAGUAAGUCAUGCUGUGUCCAAACUUAUGGCCAUGGCUGUAAUGUACAAAUGCAUAACACACACGUGUAUUUUUGUGUACAACAUAAUUCUUUAUGCAUUCUAUUACAGUUUUGAUGUCUUCAGUAUUAGUCCACAAAAUAAAUAAAAGCCACUGAAUGAGAA